rnacentral:rRNA from 1 species
AUACGGAGGGUGCGAGCGUUAAUCGGAAUUACUGGGCGUAAAGCGUACGUCGGCGGUUUGCUAAGUCAGAUGUGAAAGCCCCGGGCUUAACCUGGGAACUGCAUUUGAUACUGGCAGACUAGAGUAUGAUAGAGGGGGGUAGAAUUCCUGGUGUAGCGGUGAAAUGCGUAGAUAUCCGGAGGAAUACCAGUGGCGAAGGCGGCCCCCUGGAUCAAUACUGACGCUGAGGUACGAAAGCGUGGGGAGCGAACAGGAUUAGAAACCCUAGUAGUCC